rnacentral:rRNA from 1 species
CGAACGCUGGCGGCGUGCUUAACACAUGCAAGUCGAACGAGAAUCUGCGGAACGAGGAUUCGUCCAAGUGAAGCAGAGGACAGUGGCGGACGGGUGAGUAACGCGUGAGGAACCUGCCUUCAGAGGGGACAACAGUUGGAAACGACUGCUAAUACCGCAUGACACAUAGAUGUCGCAUGGCAUUUAUGUCAAAGAUUUAUCGCUGAAAGAUGGCCUCGCGUCUGAUUAGCUAGUUGGUGAGGUAAUGGCCCACCAAGGCGACGAUCGGUAGCCGGACUGAGAGGUUGAACGGCCACAUUGGGACUGAGAUACGGCCCAGACUCCUACGGGAGGCAGCAGUGGGGAAUCUUCCGCAAUGGGCGAAAGCCUGACGGAGCAACGCCGCGUGAACGAUGAAGGUCUUAGGAUCGUAAAGUUCUGUUGUUAGGGACGAAGGGCAAGGGUUAUAAUACAGCCUUUGUUUGACGGUACCUAACGAGGAAGCCACGGCUAACUACGUG